GAGGAGUUAAAUGGCCGCGGUAUUUUGACCGUGCAAAGGUAGCAUAAUAAUUAGUUUUUUAAUUGAAAGCUGGAAUGAAUGAUUGGACGAGAAAAUUACUGUCUCAGAUUAAUUUAAUUAGAAUUUUAUUUUUAAGUAAAAAAGCUUAAAUUUUUUUAAAAGACGAGAAGACCCUAUAGAGUUUUAUAUAUUUUUAUAUAUUUAAAUUUUUAGUAUUAUAUUUUUGUUAUAUUAAAAUAUAUUUUGUUGGGGUGAUAGAAAAAUUAAAUUAACUUUUUUUAUAUAUUAACAUUAAUUUAUGGUUAAAUGAUCCAUUUUUUAUGAUUAUAAGAUUAAAUUACCUUAGGGAUAACAGCGUAAUUUUUUUUUAGAGUUCUUAUCGAAAGAAGAGAUUGCGACCUCGAUGUUGGAUUAAAAUAAACGUUUGGUGUAGGGGCUAAAUAGUUAGGUCUGUUCGACCUUUAAAAUUUUACA
rnacentral:rRNA from 1 species